rnacentral:misc_RNA from 1 species
CAUAAUAAGUGCUUUAUGGCACUUUUUAAAUCCAUAUCCACCUUGUGUGCAAUGUCAGUCGAUCUUCUUCAUGGAGAUCGACCAAACAUCAACCUUUAUCUUUUAACUCUUUGUCUGAAAAAUAUUAUGAAUAAACAAUUCAAAAUA